rnacentral:rRNA from 1 species
UACGUAGGGAGCAAGCGUUGUCCGGAAUCAUUGGGCGUAAAGCGCGCGUAGGCGGCCCGCUAAGUCCGCUGUGAAAGUCAACGGCUCAACUGUUGGAUGCCGGUGGAUACUGUCGGGCUAGAGUACGGAAGAGGCAAGUGGAAUUCCUGGUGUAGCGGUGAAAUGCGCAGAUAUCAGGAGGAACACCGGUGGCGAAGGCGGUUCUCUGGGCAUGUCCUGACGCUGAGGAGCGAAAGUGUGGGGAGCGAACAGG